UCCUCGAUAGCUCAGUUGGUUAGAGCGCACGGCUGUUAACCGCGAGGUCAUUGGUUCGAGUCCAAUUCGAGGAG
rnacentral:tRNA from 2 species